GCGCUUGGCUCAGUGGUAGAGCACCGCCUUCACACGGUGGGGGUCAAUGGUUCGAAUCCAUUCGCCUCGCGCCA
rnacentral:tRNA from 1 species